rnacentral:lncRNA from 1 species
GGAUUAUUUAACCAUUCAUAAGUAUGGCAAUGCAGCCAGAAAUGAUCUCUGGAAUACAUUAUCGGAGGCAUUAAAAAGAAAUGGGAAAUAUGUAAAUAUACAAGAAGUAAUGGAUCAGUGGACACUCCAGAUGGGUUAUCCUGUUAUCACCAUCUUGGGAAACACAACAGCAGAAAAUAGAAUAAUAAUUACCCAACAGCAUUU